rfam:Arabis alpina cultivar Pajares Aa.chr4_contig_1991, whole genome shotgun sequence.
UCUGAGUAUAUGAUGAAUCUCAUUUAAUAAAUGGGUAAUUUGCGACUGAAAUCAUAUUGAUGACUAUUCACCUUGGAGAAUUGAUUCUCAAA